UACAGAGGGUGCAAGCGUUAAUCGGAAUUACUGGGCGUAAAGGGCGCGUAGGUGGUUAGAUAAGUUGGCUGUGAAAUACCCGGCUUAACCUGGGGGUGUCAGCCAAUACUGUAUGACUAGAGUAAGGUAGAGGAUAGUGGAAUUUCCGGUGUAGCGGUGAAAUGCGUAGAGAUCGGAAGGAACACCAGUGGCGAAGGCGGCUAUCUGGACCUUAACUGACACUGAGGCGCGAAAAGCGUGGGGAGCGAACAGG
rnacentral:rRNA from 1 species